rnacentral:sRNA from 1 species
UAUUAGCCCAGAUAGUAGUGAAAAGUUUUUGAAAUGGACGACUAUUUUUUGAUUCUAAAAAAAAGCGACCGGCGGAAGCUCUUUUUUUUGAAAUCAAAAAAAGGAGUACAUGAAAAAACUUGAAACGAAUAGCUGGAUUGGCU